ACAUAUAUAUAUAUAUAGAGUUAUGUAUAUAUCGAAUUAUUUAUCACUGUUGCUGGUUUGUGUUUUGUUUAGUUGCCUAGUUGUCUACUGUGCGCCCUGAACUGCAGCCUCUCCAGAUUCCGUUUCGAAAACAUCGUCGGAUUCCUGGCCAACGUAGUCAAUAUCCUCAUCGCCGUGCUCCUCAUCGUUUUCAUCGUAGUCAUCGGGAUAUUCACCAUACUCGGAGGAUUCACCAAGCGUCCAGGCGUCGUUUUCCACGGAGUUUCGAGGACUGUAGCUGUUGCCUCCGCUCGUGAUGGUCAUAUUGUUGGCUGGGCGCAGCACACUGUGUGUAUGGAGAACUUAAGUUAAUAUUUCAAUCAAAUAGAGCGGUUAGGAUUAUUUUGAAUAAAUGCACAAUUCGGAAUGC
ensembl:ncRNA asRNA:CR46050 antisense RNA:CR46050